rnacentral:rRNA from 1 species
GAUGAACGCUGGCGGCGUGCCUAAUACAUGCAAGUCGAGCGAACAGACGAGGAGCUUGCUCCUCUGACGUUAGCGGCGGACGGGUGAGUAACACGUGGAUAACCUACCUAUAAGACUGGGAUAACUUCGGGAAACCGGAGCUAAUACCGGAUAAUAUAUUGAACCGCAUGGUUCAAUAGUGAAAGACGGUCUUGCUGUCACUUAUAGAUGGAUCCGCGCCGCAUUAGCUAGUUGGUAAGGUAACGGCUUACCAAGGCAACGAUGCCUAGCCGACCUGAGAGGGUGAUCGGCCACACUGGAACUGAGACACGGUCCAGACUCCUACGGGAGGGAGCAGUAGGGAAUCGUCCGCAAUGGGCGAAAGCCGGACGGAGCAACGCCGCGUGAGUGAUGAAGGUCUUCGGAUCGGAAAACUCUGUUAUUAGGGAAGAACAAAUGUGUAAGUAACUGGGCACGUCUUGACGGUACCUAAUCAGAAAGCCACGGCUAACUACGUG